GCGGGUAUAGUUCAGAGGUAGAACUCCAGCCUUCCAAGCUGGUCGCGCGGGUUCGAUUCCCGCUACCCGCUCCA
rnacentral:tRNA from 1 species